AUGACACUCGGUCGAGGCUGCGUCUUGGCGGUUCAACGAGGGUCGAAAAGGAGCACGGCGAAGCUCGUGAUGGACGGGGAGCGCAGCCUGGAGGCAGCAGCAGCGGUUGGUAGCGUGUGCGGGCGGCGUGUGGAGGCGGAGCAGGGAACUUGGCGCGGUUGUGGCUUCACCUUGCAGAGGAGGUCAACGCAGUCGGCCACCAGGAAGACGAAGGCGAGCUUGAGCGGCGAGACUUGGUGGCGGGGCCGGUGCAAGGAGACGGGGCAGCAUGGGAGGCGAAGGCCGGCGAAGGCGUUUGGGAGAGGAGCUCCUAGUUCAUGGCGGCAGAGGAGCUCCAGCAGUGCCGAGGCGGCGACAGGGGAGGAAGGUCAGCGGGGAGGCACGAUCCACGAGAUGGACGGCGCGGGCUGCAGGAUCCGGCUGAAGGCAUGA
rnacentral:rRNA from 1 species